rnacentral:rRNA from 1 species
UACAGAGGUCUCAAGCGUUGUUCGGAUUCAUUGGGCGUAAAGGGUGUGUAGGUGGCGCUGUAAGUCAGGUGUGAAAUUUCGGAGCUUAACUCCGAAACUGCAUUUGAUACUGCGGUGCUUGAGGACUGGAGAGGAGACUGGAAUUUACGGUGUAGCAGUGAAAUGCGUAGAUAUCGUAAGGAAGACCAGUGGCGAAGGCGGGUCUCUGGACAGUUCCUGACACUGAGACACGAAAGCGUGGGGAGCAAACGGG